ACGGAAGGCAGCAGUGGGGAAUAUUGGGCAAUGGGCGCAAGCCUGACCUAGCAACGCCGCGUGAAGGAUGAAGGUCCUCGGAUUGUAAACUUCUUUGAUCAGGGACGAAUUUUGACGGUACCUGGAGAACAAGUCACGGCUAACUACGUGCCAGCAGCCGCGGUAAUACGUAGGUGACAAGCGUUAUCCGGAUUUACUGGGUGUAAAGGGCGUGUAGGCGGUUUAGCAAGUCAGAAGUGAAAUUCCCGGGCUUAACUUGGGCGCUGCUUCUGAAACUGCUUUACUUGAGUACUGGAGAGGAUAGUGGAAUUCCUAGUGUAGCGGUAAAAUGCGCAGAUAUUAGGAGGAACACCGGUGGCGAAGGCGGCUAUCUGGACAGUAACUGACGCUGAGGCGCGAAAGCACGGGGAGCAAACAGGAUUAGAUACCCUGGUA
rnacentral:rRNA from 1 species